AUUGAACGCUGGCGGCAGGCCUAACACAUGCAAGUCGAGCGAGCGGCGGACGGGUGUGUAAUGUCUGGGAAACUGCCUGAUGGAGGGGGAUAACUACUGGAAACGGUAGCUAAUACCGCAUACCAUCAGAUGUGCCCAGAUGGGAUUCGGUAGUAGGUGGGGUAAUGGCUCACCAAGGCGACGAUCCCUAGCUGGUCUGAGAGGAUGACCAGCCACACUGGAACUGAGACACGGUCCAGACUCCUACGGGAGGCAGCAGUGGGGAAUAUUGCACAAUGGGCGCAAGCCUGAUGCAGCCAUGCCGCGUGUGUGAAGAAGGCCUUCGGGUUGUAAAGCACUUUUAGCAGGGAGGCGGUACUCGCAGAAGAAGCACCGGCUAACUCCGUGCCAGCAGCCGCGGUAAUUC
rnacentral:rRNA from 1 species